GAUGAACGCUGGCGGCGUGCCUAACACAUGCAAGUCGAGCGAUUCUCUUCGGAGAAGAGCGGCGGACGGGUGAGUAACGCGUGGGUAACCUGCCCUGUACACACGGAUAACAUACCGAAAGGUAUGCUAAUACGAGAUAAUAUACUUUUAUCGCAUGGUAGAAGUAUCAAAGCUCCGGCGGUACAGGAUGGACCCGCGUCUGAUUAGCUAGUUGGUAAGGUAACGGCUUACCAAGGCGACGACCAGAAGCCGACCUGAGAGGGUGAUCAGCCACAUUGGAACUGAGACACGGUCCAAACUCCUACGGGAGGCAGCAGUGGGGAAUAUUGCACAUUGGGCGAAAGCCUGAUGCAGCAACGCCGCGUGAGCGAUGAAGGCCUUCGGGUCGUAAAGCUCUGUCCUCAAGGAAGAUAAUGACGGUACUUGAGGAGGAAGCCCCGGCUAACUACGUGCCAGCCGCCGCGGUAA
rnacentral:rRNA from 1 species